UAGGGAAUCUUCGGCAAUGGGGGCAACCCUGACCGAGCAACGCCGCGUGAGUGAAGAAGGUCUUCGGAUCGUAAAAUUCUGUUGUUAGAGAAGAACACGAGUGAGAGUGGAAAGUUCACACAGUGACGGUAACUUACCAGAAAGGGACGGCUAACUACGUGCCUG
rnacentral:rRNA from 1 species